GUGUGGUGCAAACAUCAGCAUGGAUCUGCUUUCACUUUUGUUUAUUGCUACUGGAGGACGUAUUACCGUUAAAAUCAGGAAGCAGGGAUAUUGCUUUGCAAUUAGAACUGAUGCAAGAAGUGGACAAAGUUAGUACUGCUUUGAGUCUUGGUGACCCUGACGACACAUGCAAGUACAUAAUAUGCAUAGCUUCACACUGUACAUAUGGUUUUUGCCUCUCCCUCCUCUUCUGCCUCGAUUUUAAGUAUGCACCCUUUCCUUCCUGGUUCAUACAUAGGUCUCCUAAUUGAGCCCACCUAUGCUCUGUGCCGUGCAUUCCAGCACUCCUAAACACGCUCUGUACACACUCAUCUCAUACUUCUUAUGUAUUUUUUCACCCCAGGGAAGUUUGAAUGAUGAUCAGAAUGUCUGAAAUUAUCAGAUGAGGGAAAAAAAGAACACAUCCUGUGAGUAUCUCAGCUGGUGUGACUUUGUGAGUAAAGAAAGUCUGACUUGAACAAGUUCAGCGUUUGCCUGGAAGGACUGCUUAGAGUCACAGCAGCACUGUUCAUCAAGGGACUGCACCUCUCUCCAUGCAGAAGCUACUUCUCGGCAGAUUUUGUAUUGGAAAAGGCUUCCAUCAACCUUCCCAAGUGUCUCUCUCAGAUGGUUAAUAUGGUAUUAAAUCGCCUCAGUGAAAUGCAUACAAUCUCAGAAAUUCUAAACAAACACAUCACUGAGGAGAUGUAAAUCAUCAAUUCAAAGAACUCCUUAUUUGCUGAACAAACCAAGGAUGUUAUUUGCUUAGCUUUAUACUGACAAGCACUUGUCAGACUGUUUUUUGAGAGGUAUUCCUGCAGCUCAGUUGCUCUGAUGACUUGCCAGUUGCACAGUCUCCUCAAUGUCCAAGCUCUGCACUGCAUCUCUACUUCAGAAUUAAUUUUGGGGCGGAAAAAGACAACUCUGUAGCAAACUCCUUUCUAGGAUAGCUUUCAGUCACAGCAGGAACAGCACUUACAGUUUGAUCUCAUACACCCUGGCUUUGCUGGAGAAGCUCCUGGCAUGUUAUGUGAAGAGCUGGUUUCCGGAGAGCAUUGCCCUCGCACCCUGGAAGCCAACAGGAGAGGAACUAUGAUGUUAUAAAAAACAGUGCAGUUUAAGCAAAAUAAUUGAACAUUUGAUAUCUUUCUUUCUCUGAACUGUGUUUAUAACAGAACAAUUGACUCCCAACCUUUUCCAUGGGAGAUGAGUGUAAGACUACCCCAGCUGCCUGAAACCUCCACUCCCAGCGCAGGGAAUUAGAUUAAAAAUAUCAGCAUUCUUUAAAAAAAAAAAAAAAAGACAAUGGAAAAAAACCCAAACCAAACCGAACAGGUGCAAAACUAGCGUUGGGAUGAUGUGAAGGGCACUUCUGUGAGAAGGCUCAUGUUGUGGGCUCAUGCUAGCACACCCUACAGUAAUGUAAACGGAAAAGUAACCUUUGCUUACAGCAGGAAGACUUCAGACUGCCAUUGGAUACCUCUGCAUUUCCCCAGGCACUACUCUCAGGGAGCAGGGGGCUGAAUUUUGUCAAAAUGACCUAUUUGUGAUGAAGAGCCAGAUGGCCUCAAAGCAGGUGUGAUUUAGUAAAACGUUGUGUGUUCCCUCCUCAACAGUCUUCGCAGGGUUUAGUUUGCUGUUUGCUUUCAAUCCUAAUGAGAAAAGCAGGAAUUGCACUGGUGGCUUUGGGGAGAGCCAAGGAUCUCUCUGGUGCCCCAUUUACCACUAAGCACUUGGGACCAUCAUCCUCAGCAACUGAGCCCUGCACCAUCCACAGCUCACAGCGCUUUCCCCAGCACCAGCAUCUUUGUAGGGGGCUCAUUCUCACAGGUGUUGCCUAGAAUUAGGUGGAAACAGGCAGCCUGAGCAGGGUGCCCUGUGCCGAAUUUAUAUGCAACAGAACUAACUCUCAUGGUCUAUGAAGUGCAAUCUGCCACUGAAGUAUGGAAAAACAUUCACUCCUCUGCAACUUCAAAGGCUGCGAUAAGGUCAGAGAUGUACGGAGCACAUGCUUUCUGUAGCCACGGACUACCGGGAGUGCUUCACCUCUCUCUGUAGACCUUCUGUCCCUGCUGGGUUGCCCCUCCACAUCACUGCCGAGGUGCAGGAUGCUUUGCUUAGGUGCGUGAACAUGACGGUUUUCUCCAUGUUGAGAUCCACAGCUUCUCUGUGCAAAAGUUGUGUUGCCAAUAGGUGGCAUACUUCUCCUGCCUCUGGGGACUGAAAAGGCUUGCUGCGUGUCUGAACUAGGUCUGAUCAAAUGCUGAUAGCUGUUCAGUUCAGCACACACACUAUCUUUCUCUGUUAGAGCUCUCUAUGCAGGAGGUAAUUAAUUAGUUCUCUGAUGUGUGACUUGGACACUUCCUGCUCUUCUGCGAACUUGACAGAGAGUGUGGAAUAAUGUCCUCAAAGUGCUGUAGGGAGUAACUAAAGUCCAUAUAGAAAUAUCCAGGUUAUAUAUCUCAUGGCACUUUUGUAAAUUAAACCUUUUGGCAUGAAGAACAGCACCCCACUUGCAAUAAAAUAAACAGUUUUUAAGAAACCCGUGUUAACCAAGGUCUCUGCUGGAACUUAGCCUUGAAUGUAUUGUUGUCUUCAGUAGAGCUGUACACAGAGCACACAGUUAAGCAUAUCUGUAAUUCCAGUCUUUGCACAUUCACUGAAACAAAGUCGUAAUUGCACAGACCUAUUGGCAGGAUAAAGAUUCCAAUUUUGACCUGAAGAGAAAACUGUGGUUUUAGUUGUUAGUUUCCACAGGGAAAAACAAAAACAAAAACCCAAACAGAUUGCUUAUUGUUUCAUUAUUCAGCAGUUUCUCAUCUUGUCUUUUCAGCAAUCUGUUUCUUUGGUCUGGAAUAAAUAAGCAGAGCGCUUUUCAGAAACAUACUAUUUUAUCUAACUUUGUUUCCAAUGCUGGGAGGUGAAUUUUAGCACUCACUUUGGCAUAGCCAGAAUUAAGCUAAUGCUGAGUAUAUUCCAAAACCCUGCUGAGGACCUGGUAACAUCACUGAGUUCUCAGGUAGCUACUUAGGCAACAGCAGUGCCCAACAGACAAUAUUCUCUGUUUUCUCCCAUGUAUGUCUGUCCUUGCACAACCGAUUUUCCUUCCAGAAGUCAAAGCAGACAGAUUGCCUAGUUGAUAACUAGAAAUGAAAUAAAAUGAGUUUCAUUUCCUUUGGGGAAAAAAAAAAAUUAAAAGCAAUACAUUACAUAGAAAUUCCAUUGGAAGCCUAUUCCAAAUUUCAGCUUCUCCACACAUUUUUAGUUCCACUGUUACUUUUUUGUUGAAUUUUAUGACCAGCUUGAUUAUGAAGUUUUCUCUUUGUGGGUGGUGAGAUAAAAUGACUUAAGUCCAUGUCAGUGGAAUUUCAGUUUGUUACCACAUGGUACAAUAACUUCGUGUUUUGUCCAAAGAACAGAAAAUUCAGUUCAAAGUUUCAUGAAUAAAUGCCCUGAAAGCUGAUAAAAACACAUCUUAUCAGUAAAACAGUGAAGGUUACUAGCCAGCAGCUUCCAAAUUUGUUAUUCUAAAACCAUGGCAACUACAGAUCUUUUUUAGAGUCUGUGUCUGUAGAUCUUAAAGAAGAAAAGGUCAUUCUUAAGCUUCCUUGAAAACAAUACCUUGCUUUUUGAGGCAAACGUAUUGACAAGCUGGUAUCUUUUUGUUCUCUUGAUUUUAUACUGAGUUCAAGUAGUCACAUUUUUAAUGGAGGCUCUUCUUCAGAACGUCUCCUAAUUCACAUCUAACUACUGCAUGAAAUCAGGUGCCCACCAAACUAGUUUGGUCUUGGAGGUCUGAUUCACCUUACAUGAGUCUAGAUUGACUCCGUGAGUUUGUCACUGUUAGACAAAAUGGGGCCUGCAGAAUCAAAAACUAUACUUAAUUUUGCGUUAAUGGGAAUAGCACUGAACAUUCUAAAUAUUCAUGCUGACUAGAAGCAAAAGCACCACUGAUAAUGAUGGAUCCUGUAUUUUCCACAUGCAGGAUUUUAACUGAAG
ensembl:lncRNA